rnacentral:rRNA from 1 species
UGAGUUUGAUCCUGGCUCAGGAUGAACGCUGGCGGCGUGCCUAAUACAUGCAAGUCGAACGAGAGUAGCAAUACUCUAGUGGCGAACGGGUGAGUAACACGUAGAUAACCUACCGUAAAGACGAGGAUAACACCGGGAAACUGGUGCUAAGACUGGAUAGGACAAAUUGAGGCAUCUUGAAUUGUUUAAAGGACCAGCAAUGGUACACUUUAUGAGGGGUCUGCGGCGCAUUAGUUAGUUGGUGGGGUAACGGCCUACCAAGACGAUGAUGCGUAGCCGGACUGAGAGGUCAACCGGCCACAUUGGGACUGAGAACGGCCCAAACUCCUACGGGAGGCAGCAGUAGGGAAUUUUCGGCAAUGGGGGGAACCCUGACCGAGCAACGCCGCGUGAAUGACGAAGUUCUUCGGAAUGUAAAGUUCUUUUAUUAGUGAAGAAUGGCUUAUGGAAAAAUAAGAAUGACGGUAACUAAUGAAUAAGCCCCGGCUAACUAUGUGCCAGCAGCCGCGGUAAUACAUAGGGGGCAAGCGUUAUCCGGAUUUACUGGGCGUAAAGGGUGCGUAGGUUGUUAUUUAAGUUCUUGGUGUAAGUGCAGUGCUCAACGCUGUGAUGCUAAGGAAACUGGAUAGCUAGAGUUAGAUAGAGGCAAGUGGAAUUCCAUGUGUAGCGGUAAAAUGCGUAAAUAUAUGGAGGAACACCAGUGGCGAAGGCGGCUUGCUGGGUCUAUACUGACGCUGAUGCACGAAAGCGUGGGGAGCAAACAGGAUUAGAUACCCUGGUAGUCCACGCCGUAAACGAUGAGUACUAAGUGUUGGGACCAAGUCUCAGUGCUGCAGUUAACGCAUUAAGUACUCCGCCUGAGUAGUACGUACGCAAGUAUGAAACUCAAAGGAAUUGACGGGACCCCGCACAAGCGGUGGAUCAUGUUGUUUAAUUCGACGAUACACGAAAAACCUUACCAGGUCUUGACAUACCAUGCAAAGGCUUAGAAAUAAGUACGGAGGUUAACAUGGAUACAGGUGGUGCACGGUUGUCGUCAGCUCGUGUCGUGAGAUGUUGGGUUAAGUCCCGCAACGAGCGCAACCCUUAUUGCUAGUUACCAUCAUUAAGUUGGGGACUCUAGCGAGACUGCCAGUGAUAAACUGGAGGAAGGUGGGGAUGACGUCAAAUCAUCAUGCCCCUUAUGACCUGGGCUACAAACGUGAUACAAUGGCUGAAACAAAGGGAAGCGAUACCGCGAGGUGGAGCUAAUCCCAAAAAAGCAGUCUCAGUUCGGAUUGAAGUCUGCAACUCGACUUCAUGAAGUCGGAAUCGCUAGUAAUCGCGAAUCAGCAUGUCGCGGUGAAUACGUUCUCGGGGUUUGUACACACCGCCCGUCAAACCACGAAAGUGAGCAACACCCAAAGCCGGUGGCCUAACCGCAAGGAAGGAGCCGUCUAAGGUGGGGUUCAUGAUUGGGGUUAAGUCGUAACAAGGUAACCGUAA